CAAAAUAGAAAAGUUGUCUAGUUCUCUAAUCAAAAUAGGAUAAUAAUCAAAUCAACAUAAUUUAAUUUAUUUUUAUUAAAAUAAUAUUUUUUUUUUUUUUGAGAAUGUUUACUUCUACUUUUCUACAAAAGCUGACAGAGAGAAACGCACAAGAAUUACAAUGUACUUGUAAUGUACCUGUACAAAUGGCAAUACAUUUCAAAUUAAUAUCAAAAUAGGAUUAUUUUGAUAUUAUAUAACUAUAUAACCUAUAAGCUGUAUAAAAAUGAAAGCAAUAAACUUAAUAUAUAACUUCAAAUACGUUACUAAUAUGUUUUUCUUCUGCGCUUUACGCUCUCGUCCCGUUGGUGGCAGUAAAGCGCAAAAACAUGUAUUGCCACUUGGCAUCAAAAACGUAGAAGAAGAAGAAGAUAAGACCUGGCUGGCGUCGUUUCCGGAUCCUUCUUUCGCUUGAGGACGUCUGUGCGAGCAGAGUCAACUCUCUUGCAUCUCUGAGAUGGACUUGAGGUGGUUUGAGGCCUGCUGUUUACCUUCUGCACUAAAUGGAAGUUCCUUGAAGCCUUCAGAGAGCAUUUAUCUGGCCACCUUAAUGUUAUGUAUCGGUCAUGAGUUUCUCCCCAUCUGUUACAAGAAGAAUUGGUUUGCUGUUGUGUUGGAUCACCAAGUGUUCAUUUUGAGCAAGGCAAGAUAUUAGGAAAGCAGUAAAUAUUACACACUGAGAUUGACAUGGAACAUUAUUUUUGGUGCAUUUGUUGUUUGAAUGCUGAGUAGUGUUAAAACCCAGAGGUGAAAACUGUUUGAUUUAAUAAAUGUUCAGCUGAAUAAAGAGAGAAAAUCCUUUAAACAAAGUUGUCUUUUUUUCACUUUAUUAAAAGCAUGUUGGUAUCAUGAGACUAAUUGUCAAACAUGCUGUGUAUAGCAAAUAGCUGGCAGCACAUUAUCCUGCUUACUACAUGAUUAUUUGACUCCUAAGUAAUUAUACAUUAAUUUGAGUUCAUCUUUACAUGCUUUUAAUAAACUUAAAGCUCCUGCCAAUUAAAGCAGUAUUUAGCAAGUGGCUUUUAUCCAAGUUGAACAAACUAGAUCAAACAAGGAAUAAUGUACAUGCCACUACCCAACAAAUAAUUGUUUGAGAUUUUACUUGUCUUAUACAUUAUCUUAAAACGUGCUGCUAAUGGGGAAAAUGCUCAAGACCAUUAACCUCACAACAGGAUGAACACUACAACGUGUGGUGUCCCGUGUAACAGUGUAUAACUGAAGAUGCAUAUGGUGAACCUACGUUGUACAGGUCCUUCUCAAAAAAUUAUAUUGUGAUAAAAGUUCAUUAUUUUACAUAAUGUAAUAAAAAUUUAACUUUCAUAUAUUUUAGAUUCAUUGCACACCAACUGAAAUAUUUCAGGUCUUUUAUUGUUUUAAUACUG
rnacentral:lncRNA from 1 species